rnacentral:sRNA from 1 species
AGCCAGGAGGUGAUGUCCCCCCUCUGCUCAUGCUAUAGUUUCCCCCUGCCAUUAAUAGAGGAGGACCGGUCUUUGGUCAAGGGUGUACGAGUAGCUGCGCUCCCCUGCUAGAACCUCCAAACAAGCUCUGAAGGAGCUUCCCCUCAAAUCUGUAUGCCAAAAUAAAUCUUUUUUUUU